GACGAACGCUGGCGGCGUGCCUAAUACAUGCAAGUAGAACGCUGAAGGAGGAGCUUGCUUCUCUGGAUGAGUUGCGAACGGGUGAGUAACGCGUAGGUAACCUGCCUGGUAGCGGGGGAUAACUAUUGGAAACGAUAGCUAAUACCGCAUAAUAGUAGAUGUUGCAUGACAUUUGCUUAAAAGGUGCAAUUGCAUCACUACCAGAUGGACCUGCGUUGUAUUAGCUAGUUGGUGGGGUAACGGCUCACCAAGGCGACGAUACAUAGCCGACCUGAGAGGGUGAUCGGCCACACUGGGACUGAGACACGGCCCAGACUCCUACGGGAGGGAGCAGUAGGGAAUCUUCGGCAAUGGACGGAAGUCUGACCGAGCAACGCCGCGUGAGUGAAGAAGGUUUUCGGAUCGUAAAGCUCUGUUGUAAGGGAAGAACGAGUGUGAGAGUGGAAAGUUCACACUGUGACGGUAUCUUACCAGAAAGGGACGGCUAACUACGUG
rnacentral:rRNA from 1 species